rnacentral:rRNA from 1 species
CAGCCGCCACGGUAAUACGUAGGGUGCGAGCGUUAAUCGGAAUUACUGGGCGUAAAGCGAGCGCAGACGGUUACUUAAGCAGGAUGUGAAAUCCCCGGGCUCAACCUGGGAACUGCGUUCUGAACUGGGUGACUAGAGUGUGUCAGAGGGAGGUAGAAUUCCACGUGUAGCAGUGAAAUGCGUAGAGAUGUGGAGGAAUACCGAUGGCGAAGGCAGCCUCCUGGGAUAACACUGACGUUCAUGCUCGAAAGCGUGGGUAGCAAACAGGAUUAGAUACCCCUGUAGUCCCUGUCUCUUAUAC